ensembl:lncRNA
CAGUUCAGACAAUAUGCACAGUAGGAGUUGCAUGUGUAGCAGGAUGACUGCCCUUUGCCCAUUUGCGGUCCUGCCCCUUUAAUUGUCUGCCACAUAAGAAGGGAUCGGUAGAUCUGCGCUCUCUCUCUCUUUCUGGCGACGGGUGCGUACUUUCUGCUUCCUGGUUGCCUGGCUGCAGGUUUUUGCAGACGCUCCGCACUCUUUGGUGUGGCGCAAAAUUGUGUUCCUCCACGCAGGCGCUGGCAGGUUGGAUGGCGUGUGUCGGCUAGCUUCCCUUUCGGUGCCGGAGUGAUGUUACGCUGAGGGCUCGGCACCCGGCUACCCCGAACCGUGCUGAGGGCCUCACUGGUGAACCCUUUUUGGUGAUGGUGUCCCCUCGUGUGUAGUGUCUUAUUCACUCCCUUUUUGCUUUACCCUUGUCUGUGUUUUGGAGUGUUAAAGAGUGGAUUGUGGUGCUCCCAUUUUAAGUUUAUACCUUCACCUCUCCCCCUCACUCACCUUGAGCACGAAGGCCCCAGCCCUGGAAAACAUGGUAGAUUGAUAGAUUUUAAUUGUUUUAGUUGCG